GGGGCUGUGGCUCAGCGGUAGAGUGCUCACCUCACAUGUGUGGAACCCUGGGUUCGAUCCUCAGCACCA
rnacentral:tRNA from 1 species